ACGUUUACAAGAUCUGCUGGAGCACUUUUAGGGGAACGGAUUGUUGCAGACUACUGACAUGCCCCAACGAAAUCACACCACUGUCCAAGCUCUGCAAAUAAGGAUCACCAUAUACUGUUGACCUACUUGCAAAUUCAUACCACAACACCUGUGCCAAAGCAUGGCGUCAUGCACAAUGAUCAGAAGAUAAAACAUUGACUCGAAUUGCAGCCUGAAUAAUACGACGAUGGAUCAAGAAAAUGUCACAACAAGCCAACAAAGGGGAUGGUACUUCCUAGUUAUCUUCUCAAAAUAUUUGACAGGCAGACUUCAGUGGAAAUCAAAUAUUCACCAACCAGGCAAAAGAAAUCAGAAGUACAGAACCAGAACACACACUAGACAAAAAAGACUUCCACAGAUCUUGAAACUUGUACCAGGUAACUUAGAAGGUCAUCUCAUGCGGCUUGUCGCCAUCCCUGAGGGAGAACCGGGCACCAAGAUAAUUUUUAAGGUCUGGGAC
rnacentral:lncRNA from 1 species